CACACAUGUGCCUGGUGCCAUUUCUCUCAUCUCCUGUCAUUUAUCACCUUUCCUGCAUCCAUUUUUUUCCAUCUUUUUUUGUAUGAUAGUUUACUUUCUCAAAAAAAAGUCUCUAUGUGGCAAAAAAGCAGGUUUUACUGCAAGGUGGGCCAAAUCAGGAAACAGCUCAGCAGAUAGAGACACAGGCCUUUAUGGACAGAGGACUGGAAGGAGAAGCCACUGCAAGCUGGUUUCAAAAAUGUCUUCAUAUUCUGAUAUCUUCAACCUGAGGGAAAGUUGUGAAACUACGGAUAUUCCCCCUGAAACCAUGGUGCAAUAGAUGACACUAUGCCCUAGAUUCAUCUUCAGAAUCCUUUUCAUCACAGUACUACAG
ensembl:lncRNA